rnacentral:rRNA from 1 species
UACGUAGGCAGCAAGCGUUGUUCGGAAUUACUGGGCGUAAAGAGUGUGUAGGCGGUGCUCUAAGUUCGGUGUGAAAUCUCCCGGCUUAACUGGGAGGGUGCGCCGGAAACUGGAGUGCUUGAGCGCGGGAGAGGAAAGCGGAAUUCCUGGUGUAGCGGUGAAAUGCGUAGAUAUCUGGAGGAACACCGGUGGCGAAGGCGGCAUCCUGGACCAAUUCUGACGCUGAGGAGCGAAAGCCAGGGGAGCAAACGGG